AUUUUACCAGAUAUUCACAAAAAAUUUGGCGAGGAAACGUUUUCUCGUACGUCUUAACGCCGCCGCAAACAUUUUCGAUUAAACGGUGAGACCAGUGUGAGCAAAGAAACAAAAGAGCGCGAAAUGCAAACAGGGUAUGUGCGAGAGAGCGCGCUCUCGCGAGUAAGCAAUUCACAGAGAGAAAAUCGAGAGAGCAACCGCGCGCGCGCAGUGUUGCUUUGGAAUUCAUCUUUUUAAUUUUCGUCAUAUCUGUUGUUGCUAUAUUUGCUACAGUGGCAACUUGCGACGAACAGCAACAGCACAGCAUAUCAAACAGGGAGGCAACGCAGCGCAUCAACCAACAUGAAGCCUCUUCGAGCAUAAAAAAAUGGGGAAAAUGCUGCUUUCGGUAUAAAAGUAAAUACAUGAUUAUUAUGUAUAGCAAUACAUACCAAACAUGAAGAUGCACGGUAAAUAGUGAAAUCUUUUUUGUUCGUGGGCUUUUAAAUUGCAAUCGCUACCGUCAAGUACACUAAGUUUAGUGUGACCGCAACUUCAAUCCUCCCCACGAAAAUAUACUAAAUUCAAAGUUUCCUUUGAGAAUAAACAAACUAAAGACAAAAUGUUACAAACGCUCCCAUAAAUCCACAUACUUCUCCACAGAAUUUGACGUGAAAAUAUACCACAUCAAGUAUAUAAUGUACCAUGCGAGCGGUCACGCUGUGUGCGAGAAAAAUAGCACGCUGUAUAUUCGAGAACCAACCAGCGAACGGCAGCUCGCUGCUUUGUGGUUCAGCCCUAUGGCCAGGCCAGAGAAGCCAUUCGCAUUUCGUGCCACUGAGGCAAGCAAGCAAAAGAGACGACCGGAGUAAUUCCGCAAAAAAUUGAGUUAUCGGCAUUUGCAAUCAAAACUCGACAUUUUUUAAUGUGCUAUCUAAAGACGAAACAAAAUAUAAGGCAAAGUGCAAAAAUGGCUCAUAAAUUCAAAUACGAGACGCUUACGUAAGUGCAAAUGGCUCACACUACUUACAUACAUAGUGUUUGUGCCAGAGAGAGUCAGAAUGAUAUGUUCAGGCAUUGGUAUCUACAGGGUGUUUCGGCUAGCUGGUCAUGACUAGCAUACCAAAAUGACGACAGCAACAUGUUUGUUUGCACUAUGGCCACCCUAUAAAAGAGAGCGGCGAGAGGCAAACCAUGGUGAUUAUGCGGGAGAGAGAGAACACCCACACAUAUACAAAUAUACAAACUGUGGCCAUACUCGCGAGAGUUCAGCGCGGCCACAGAUAUUGCAGUACAUAAUGAAAUCGACAAAACUGAAAAUCAGAAACCAAACAGACGAGUAGCAGGCUACAACACUGCCACGGUUACACUUUGUGACUUCGACGACGGCAGCAGAGCGACGGCAUACACCUUGCCUCACCUCACCUUACACUUGACUUGACUCACGCGUACACACACACAUGCAUUGAUAUACCUACGUGUGUGUGCGCUGCACAAGUGGUGGUGAAAUGGUAGUUUUUGCUGCUGUCAAAACGGAAACGAGAAGACGACGCACAACGACAGAGACACACCAUAGAAAGCAGCAACAGCAGCCAGACAUGAAGGUAAAAGAAAACCAACACACAAUGUGGAUGCAAGUUGAGACGGUGGCUGCGAUGCCAACGCCAAUGGCGGAGAGAGGAGCGAUGUACGUGUGUGAGAGUGGAUAGCAUAGCAUACCAUGUAUGUAUGCGUGUACAUGUGUGCAUACACUGGUCGGCCUUUUUGCUCUCUGCAAUGGUCGGUCAAACACAUGUUGGAAUUUGAUCGGCCGUGAGAAAGAGCAACUGAACGGGGGCUGAAUGCAGCCGCAGCAGCAACGGCAACAGAGGAGCGGCGUCCAAUAAAAAUCUGUAUACUUGCGAAUUGUGUUUGCUGCGCUCAUCGCGGUGGUGAAAAUGGAAACCUUGCAAUUAUCGAUUUCUUUUCGAGUGCGCUCGCUCAAUGCAUUGCGCACAAAGUGCAGAAGAGAGAUAGAAAGGGGUUGUGACUGUCACCUGCCAGCAGCAGCACAACAACUGCAAACUGCAACACUGCGUUAGCCGAUAACUAUAGAUAAUGCAAAUUGAGUAGAACAAAAACACAACAAGCUUUGACGGCCGACAAAAGUUCAAAGUUCACCAGCAGCAGGCGCCUGUGCAGUGUUCUGCAGCAGUUGCAUUUCUUUCCCAAAACACACAGUCAUAACCUCCUGCUCCAACACAAGUGCAAAAGGGACAACCACAGUAGUAUGUGUGUGCGUGUGUGGCUGGCAAUUGCAUAGCCUAGUGGGACACGGACUAUGGAUUGUUUGCCUUUUCCAUAUACUACAAUUUUCACGUAUAUGCCACUCGCCACGCCACGCCACGCCAUUUGCUAUUGCGCAACAAUAAACAAAAGAUAUAUAAAUAUAUAUGUAUAUAUAUAUCAAAUAUACACACAUCUCUAUGUAAAUAUGAGUAGCAGCUGCGGCAGAAUCGUCGAAUGUAACAUCAAAAAGCAAGCAAACAACAACUGUUUAAUUAUACAAAAUUUAUAUAAAUACUAUAAAUGCUGUGUUGCAUUUUAAAAGCAAA